rfam:Schistosoma margrebowiei strain Zambia genome assembly, scaffold: SMRZ_scaffold0002875
AUCCAGCUGAUGAAUCUCAAAUAGAACGAAACAUACGUCCUAGAU